CAAAGUCAUGGUGAAUAUACAUUGAAGAAAAAAAUGUAUCUCUAAGCAGCAGACACAAAAUAUUUUCAUCUGUGCUUGGUUGAAUAUGCAGGUGCAGAAUCUGCAGAUACAGAGGGCCAAUGGUACAUUGAGCUCACUCCAAUCACCUGAGAUAAUCCUCCCGUCUCAAGAUCCUUAACUUUAUCACAUCUGCAAAGAGUCCCUUUUGCCAUGUAAGAUCAUAUAUUCACAGGUUCUGGCAAUUAUGAUAUGGACAACUUUGGGGGACCAUUCUACUGCCUACCACAUCCAAUUUAUAGAUCAUUUUCUGCUGGUGCACAGAUGUCUUUAGAAAGGAAAACUCAGGAAGAUAUUCUUAACUCCGAGACAAAAGUGACUGGUCCCCUCCCCCUUCCUCAAUCAUUUCCCCACUUACCCUUUCACUUGCUUUACUUCACCUGCAAUUGGAGGAAAAACACUCUUCCUUGAAAACCAUCCUGCCUCUAAAAAUGUCAACCCCUCCUUUCCUUUUUCUCCCAGCUAGCUCCUUUUAGUCCAGUACCUGGGUAUUGGGAGAAAGGAACUCUUCUGGAUGAUUUUAGGGAAACCCUGAGAUGGGGGUAGAUGAAGAUAAACAGUGCCGCACCGGAAGCUGCAUGUCCGUGAACACAUAAUCUCUGAGGUCUGAGGCAAA